rnacentral:misc_RNA from 1 species
AUUUUUAUUUUUUUCCCUACAUCCAUCAUAAUCUUAAUUUGCAAUAUUUUUUUUGUAUCACUAUUUUUAUAAAAAAAAUUCUUAGAUGAUCACUUAAUAGUUUACAUUAAAAUACCUUGGAGGGAGCGGGGACAGAAUUCAAAUCUCACUAUAAUAAUUAAUUAUUAUAUAAUACUAUAUUAAAAGGUAAUACUUUUAAUAAUACUUAUUAAGAAAAUAUUGCCUUUAUCUAAUAAGUAAAAGUGAUAUUAAAUUUGAGCA